CUCACUCAUUACAUAAGGCAUCUGAGCUAUUUCUUGGGGGAACGAGCUCCCCCACACGGGGCCCAUUUCCCCUCUCCUCCUCCAACCAGCAACCACCACGCACCCAGGGCGUCUGGGCACGAGGGGCGAGCCUCCUUGCUGCAGGGGGCCCCAGAACGAGGGUGAAGAGAAGGGCUGCAGCUCUUUGCAGCUUCCCUGGGGCUGUGGGCAGAGCCCCCACCCGCCCCCGCCCCAGGCACCAUGGGAGGGAAGGAGGCCCUCCCAGGGCACCAUCCUGUCCCCAGGGGGGCGGGGGGGAGAUGGACUUUCUCCCCAGGACCCAUGGGCUACCCCCCCCACCAGUGCUCUUGUGCUCCGAGCGCAAGAAUGGUCCGGCCAGGACUCUUGUUCUUGGGGGAGUGGCAAUCAGACUUCACUUUGGUCAGGACAGAGGAGUCUGGCAAAGCCUCCGAUGGGAGGUGGAUGCCAGCCCGGAAGCCCAUCGAGGCGGCAGGCGUCCUCCCAGGACUCGGUCUGGCCUCAGCUGUCGGGGGAGAAGGGCCCGGGGGACCUUGGCCAUGCUGCCUCAUUUCUGCGGCCUGGGACCAAAGGCCGUCUGAACGGACACGGGGGCCCCGGCGGGACGCAGCUGGGGGGUGGGCUGGGCUUUUUGGGGGCCAAGUGCGCUCCCUGGCCUGGAGAGGAGCAAAGCAGGUCCCCUUGUCACCUGCACGGACACUCCCGGAGGGGCAGUCGCGGGCCGGGAAGGGCUGGGCCCAGCCGCGACGCCCCCAGGCCUGGGCCGCCAAGCCCGAGAGGGGCCGCCUUCCUCUGAGCUCCGUGUUCGGGAGGAAGAGGGGAGGAAAGCGGCCCCAGCGCUGCCGCCCGCCCCGCCCGGACUCCCAGACGCUCCCGCCGGGAGCCUGGCGCGCCACACCCUGCCUGGGGACAAAGCUCCCGGGCGGGCGGGCGGCAGGGACCCCGGGGACCGCGUGCCAGCGGGUGGCACGGAGCCGGAAGCCCCGCGGCCCCUCCCGCCGGCUCCCAGCCCGGGGCCUCCGUCCUCCUGGAGACACGCGGAAUGAGACCGUGUUUUCCUUUCUUUGCAGAGACUCGCGGUCUUGGAACUUGCAGCCUCUUGGGUUUGCUAUUUUUACCCACCCUGAGCCUUCCGGUCUCCAUGGCGACGCCUCCAAACAGCAGAUUCCAGGCGGCAAUGACGUCACCUUUCCCUUUCCUGCCGCCCAGGCCUCCAGUCACCGCCGCGGGGCCAGGGCUGCGGCCGCUCUGGACACCUCCCGCCUCCCCGGGCCCCUCAGCAGCGGGGCCAGGAGCAGCCGUGCCUCUGCCCGGGCUCCCUGCCACGCGGCUGAGCUCCCUGCAGGGGCUGCUGGGUCCUGGCGGCUGGACCUCGCAUCAGAAGCAGGGGACCGCCGGGGCCACGCAGGCCGGCGCACCAGGAGGCCCUGUGGCCCGUUGUGUGACAGCGGCCCGGGACGUCUGGUCCCCUCCGUGAGGCUGCCUCACUCCAGGCCAGGGGCCGCUGCCCGGCUGAGGGUCCCGAGGCCUCAGGCCCCACACCCUGGACCUGGUCUGGCAGCAGCACUGGGGGUGGCGGCCCCUCCUCCUGGGCCAGGUUGCCUGCAGUGGGUCACCUGGCUACGUGUCACCCAGCUGUCCUGUCAACGCCCAGCCUGGGGGCCGCCCUCUGCCCAGGCCAAGGAUGGGGACCCUUGGGCCAGAGGGCCACCUUGGGCCAGGACUGGGUGGGAGGGUGGGUCCCCUUCGUGGAGAAGCACCCUCGUCCUGGGUACACGCUCUGCCGUGGACUCAGAUGUUUGCCAAGAUGGCCUCAGUGAUGCCUCGCAGGAUGACAAGUGCAGCUGGGAGAGCCUCGUCCCCUCAUCCCCUCAUCCUUUCACCCCCUCGUUCCUGCCAUGGUCAGUUUUUCCUUCCGUGUGGGAGCCUACAGAGCCAGCGCACCCAGACACCGAGCCUGCAGAGGCCACUUGCUUGGUGGGCUGCUGGGGCUGCAUCUCUAAGCAGGCCCUGCUCCUUCUGUCACCCAGUCACCCACAGGGCCCAGGACACCAACCUCCAGCCCACCCCCACCAGCCUCAACUGGACCUCAUACGCUGGGCCUGGGGCGGGGAGCAGGCGGGGCCAGGCCAGGCCGAGAGGCAGGGCCACACGGGGUCCUGGCAGCCCCUAGAAGGACAAAGAAGGCACUUAGCAGAUCCCGUAGCCAACACCUCUGCUCCCAGAGAGAUACCGAAGGGAGUUGCUUUCAAGGCCCACAUUCCUGCUCUCCUGCUGGAUUCCAGCCCACGUCUUCCCAGGGAGACACACCCCUCUUCACCUGGCCGCUGGUCCCGAUGUGCUCUCUGGCAAAACAUCUACCCGGAGCAGGGGGGCCUGUAUUGCCCACUGCGAGGAAGGGCCACCAAAGCUGGUGGGAACCCCGCACCAGCCGAGCAGGGCGCCUCACCGGGGAGAGGACCGUCCCCCGGUCACAUGGCCUGGUGUGGGACAAUCUGA
rnacentral:lncRNA from 1 species